rnacentral:sRNA from 1 species
UGUGUGUCCACUUUCAUGGAAAGGUUACAGGUUGACAUCAAGUACCUUCCACCUUUCCCAAUUUCUCUCCACCUUAUCUUUUGAGACAAAGUCUGUCACUGAAACUGGAAUUCACUGAUUUGGCUACACUAGGAGGCCAGCAACUUCAGGCACACAGUUGUUUCCUCUUAUCUCUUGGUGCUGCUGUGGAUGUUGGGUAUACAGACUCAGGGUUUCAUGCUUACAAGACAAGCAUGUUAUUAAACACGCCAUCUCCUCCUCCUUGCCACAGUAGACUAUUUAUGACUUAUCAAAUCUUAAUUUGUUUGCAAUGAAAUUUAUAGGCACCAGCCAGGAGGACUGAAAGUCAGAUGUUAGGAGUAAAAUCUUAUGCAUCUCCAUGUCUCCAGAAUCUUAAAAGAAACCCAACUCCUACUCUGGCCACCCAAGCAAUGGAUAUGAGAGACCUAGAGCUGAAUUGAAUGCAUCUCAUAACACAGGAAUUGUCCCCUUGAAGCAAAAAGCAGGCUGGGAGAUGCGAGCUGGCAUAUGAUAAAAGAACCUAGCUUGAAGAAUGAAGGGGACAUGGGUGUUCUCUAGAAUCAUGGUUUUGCCACAUAGUUUUUCUUACUAAAGUCUGUCUGACUCUCUGGUCUCGGUGAGAUAAAUUCAUAAAUUUGGUCUUCCCCUUGACUGGGGCUCUCCUCACACGAACAGACUGUCUUCAAAUCCUUUUCCGAGAACCUAAGGCAAUGCCAUUCUUUCUUGAACAGCCCCAAAUGCAUCACAUGCUAUCUUCUUCCUGCCUCUCCUCCCUCGUUGCCACCCUCUCUAAGUAAGGAUAGGCCUCUUUCAGCCAUUCUCUAACUGCACAAAUUUAUAAGUCAACUCAAUUCCCACUCCUUUUGCUUAGUGUCUCCUGACCAUCUGUCUCCAGUGGGCUCCUAUGUCUCUACCACUCAUUCCGCCCUGGAGUGUUUCAUUAAUCUUGUUUACGUGCUUGUGCUUACUUUUCGCCCUCUGUGUAAGCUCCUUAGUCAUGACCCCCCUCUUCCUGUACCAUGGAGCAUAGUGCCCAGCCUGUGAAUGGUUCAUCAGCUCGGUGUGCCGGAAGAGCUACAGACUUCCCCAGUUCUUGUUCGACAUCAACCUGGGAGUAUUCCUUGACUAAGUCGUUCAGCUCUUGGCAGAACAAUCAGAUUCCCUAUUGUACCCCGAAGCUGGUCAAUCACAGCUGCACUCUUACACCACCCGCCUACAGCCUUUGUGUCUGUAACACAUCCACAAACGCUCUGGAAUAAACACAAAAUUUCUACGUUGCUCUGUUGAUCUCAGCAAUGCAGUGAAACAGGUCGGUCUCCUGCAUGGAGGAGGCAUCAUUUUCAAAAAUAUGCACAGGCAUCAGAAACAUAUGCAUCAUUCCCAAGACUUGGGAAGCUGACUUGAGAAUCCUCAAGGAUCUAGAAAACGAAGGAACAAUUGUGUCUCCUUAAAUGUAUUACCAUCUCAUUCUUUUCUUUCAGCUGCUCAACAGACAUUUACAAAGUCAGGUCACAGAAUGGCUGCCAUACAACCUCGAUUUUCUGCAAGGCUCGCCAAGCUAAUCGUGAUUAGCUGCUACAGACAGAAGAUAGGGCCGGUGAAGAAAGUCCAAACAAUGGAGUCUAAUGUGAGACCACAAAGGCUUUCAUGUUGAGAAUGUAACCUCUUGUGAGAUAGAUUCAGCAGCCUCAAGCUUAGAAAACUCCAGGAAAGUUCUUCAGUUUCUCUGAGGAAGAGAUUGGCUGAGUGAAACCAUGUCAAAUAGGUGGAGCGAGUGACAUCUAAGUAAACACAGAUCCCCAGAUGGCUACCCACCGGCCUCCUGUCCCUGAAGCUCUCCUCCGAGUAGACAUUGCUUCAGAACAACUCUGGAGCCAACACUGACGUCAAACAAGAGUACAUGUGGAAUGACCCAUAGCUCCAGCUGCAUAUAUAGCAGAGGAUGGCAUUGUCUGGCAUCAAUAGAAGGAGAAGCCCUUGGUCCUGUGAAGACUGGAUGCUCCAGUGAAAUACAUCUUUGCCUUUGAACAAUACGAGGCCUAAGUGUCAUGUGACUUAGCAUCCUGGCUGCAUGUGUCAUGCAUAAUUUCCUUCACUUUAAUAGUACUGUGUUUAUUUUUAAAAGAAAAAGAACUAGAAAAUAUUAUCCUUAUAAAAGAGACACAUGGUAUGUACUCACU